rnacentral:rRNA from 1 species
GACGGAGGAUGCAAGUGUUAUCCGGAAUCACUGGGCGUAAAGCGUCUGUAGGUGGUUUAAUAAGUCAACUGUUAAAUCUUGAGGCUCAACCUCAAAAUCGCAGUCGAAACUAUUAGGCUAGAGUAUAGUAGGGGUAAAGGGAAUUCCCAGUUGAGCGGUGAAAUGCGUAGAGAUUGGAAAGAACACCGAUGGCGAAGGCACUUUACUGGGCUAUUACUAACACUCAGAGACGAAAGCUAGGGUAGCAAAUGGG